UCCAGACUCCUACGGGAGGCAGCAGUGGGGAAUAUUGCACAAUGGGGGAAACCCUGAUGCAGCGACGCCGCGUGAGUGAGGAAGUAUUUCGGUAUGUAAAGCUCUAUCAGCAGGGAAGAAAAUGACGGUACCUGACUAAGAAGCCCCGGCUAACUACGUGCCCGCAGCCGCGGUCAUACGUAGGGGCCACGCGUUAUCCGGAUUUACUGGGUGUAAAGGGAGCGUAGACGGAAUAGCAAGUCUGAUGUGAAAACCCGGGGCUCAACUCCGGGAGUGCAUUGGAAACUGUUGAUCUAGAGUGUCGGAGAGGCAAGCGGAAUUCCUAGUGUAGCGGUGAAAUGCGUAGAUAUUAGGAGGAACACCAGUGGCGAAGGCGGCUUGCUGGACGAUGACUGACGUUGAGGCUCGAAAGCGUGGGGAGCAAACA
rnacentral:rRNA from 1 species